rnacentral:tRNA from 1 species
ACUGGUGUGGCUCAGUGGUUGAGCAUCAACCUGUGAACCUGGAAUUCAUGGUUCGAUUCACCAGUG